AAAAUUAAACUAAUCCUUUUGGAGUUGUUACACAAAGUGGAAGAAGGGAUCAGAGUAGUAUUAAUAUGCAUUCUCACCUAACAAUCUACAUAGACAAAUUAAGUUAUAAGAAAUCUAACAAUCUAGUAAUAAUAAACUUAAUUUCCGGAAUACAAUAUAGUCUUCCCUCAAUUUCAUCUUACAAAUAAAAAGGUAAAAAGUGAAAAAAUGAAUUGUAUAUCAACCUCCCGAAUAUACAGCAGGGUACAUGACCUUGAUCAUAACUAGACAAGAAUAACGAAUUUCUUUCUUAGAAGUUUAGUUUUUUUUUAAAAAAAUCAAUAAGGAAUGAUAGUCUCGAAACAGUGGACACCAUCCAAUUCCAGUGCAAACCUCUGCCUCUUCUGCUGCUGUUGGCGUGAUGAUGACGGCAGGGGCGAUGCUUCUCCGGCCUUCUUCAGACCACCGGUUGAGGAAGUAGACGGCGGAGAAACACCACCAGUCUUGUGAUCUGAUACAAGAGGUCCAACCCCUUUUUGCUGUUGUUUGGUCUCAGUACUGGGUGUCCAAAAAGGGGUCACCUUUUGACCAAAAACUUCAGCAGAGAGAGCAUCAAAGGAACUGAAUAUAGACAUCACCAUCGUUGGUGUGUUAUUGCUCUAACUGGGAAAACAAAUGGAGUUAAAAAGACAAGAAACUGAAAGUAUAGGUUUGUUGGUUUCUUUUAUGAAAGAAGUGUUCUAAACUUGGUUACGAAGAAAGAAGCUGCAGAAGGAGAAGUAUAUAUAG
rnacentral:lncRNA from 1 species